AACCGCUGACGUUUCCACCCCGGCGAAGGCCGGGGUCCAGCUACGACCGGCCCGAUGCUGGACCCCGGCCUUCGCCGGGGCGGAUCAUAUUUC
rnacentral:pre_miRNA from 1 species